GUGGUGUCCAUUCUUCAGAAGUGAGGAAACUGUUUAGUCCACAAGUUUCCGCAGGAGAAUGAAACACUUCAUAAACUUAAGGCUGUGUCUUCUGAUUUCCAGUUUGCUAAAGCAGAGGCAUACUACUAUCAAUAGCAUCAAGAAAUGAUGAUAGAAGAAGUAUGGAAAUACAAUAUGGUUCCAAAAUGGGAAACUAAAAUAGAGGAAAAGAGACCAUAAAGUGAGAAAACAGAAGAUAGUAAAAAAUGGGACUAUCUAGUGCCUGAGAGGGAACUGAGUCUUACAAAGAAACACAUACACCGGGCUGAACGAACCAGAGGCCUCAGGGACCACAAACACCGACUGCUCCCUCAAAGAAUUCCCAAUGAAAUACUUUCCCCUAA
rnacentral:sRNA from 1 species